rnacentral:rRNA from 1 species
AAUUGGAGGGCAAGUCUGGUGCCAGCAGCCGCGGUAAUUCCAGCUCCAAUAGCGUAUAUUAAAGUUGUUGCAGUUAAAAAGCUCGUAGUUGAAUUUCGGGAUCAAUAUUUCGGUCAUGCCGUUGGUAUGCACUGUUAUCAUUGAUUUCUCACCUUCUAAAGAACCGUAAUGCCAUUAAUUUGGUGUUACGGGGAAUUAGGACUGUUACCUUGAAAAAAUUAGAGUGUUUAAAGCAGGCUCACGCUUGAAUACAUUAGCAUGGAAUAAUGAAAUAGGACAUCCGAUUCUAUUUUGUUGGUUUCUAGGAUCGAUGUAAUGAUUAAUAGGGAUAGUUGGGGGCAUUAGUAUUCAAUUGUCAGAGGUGAAAUUCUUGGAUUUAUUGAAGACUAACUACUGCGAAAGCAUUUGCCAAGGAUGUUUUCAUUAAUCAAGAACGAAAGUUAGGGGAUCGAAGACGAUCAGAUACCGUCGUAGUCUUAACCAUAAACUGUGCCGACUAGGGAUCGGAUGAUGUUAAUUUUUUAAUGACUCAUUCGGCGCCUUACGGGAAACCAAAGUGU